GGGUUGUGAGGUUAAGCGACUAAGCGUACACGGUGGAUGCCCUGGCAGUCAGAGGCGAUGAAGGACGUGCUAAUCUGCGAUAAGCGUCGGUAAGGUGAUAUGAACCGUUAUAACCGGCGAUUUCCGAAUGGGGAAACCCAGUGUGUUUCGACACACUAUCAUUAACUGAAUCCAUAGGUUAAUGAGGCGAACCGGGGGAACUGAAACAUCUAAGUACCCCGAGGAAAAGAAAUCAACCGAGAUUCCCCCAGUAGCGGCGAGCGAACGGGGAGCAGCCCAGAGCCUGAAUCAGUGUGUGUGUUAGUGGAAGCGUCUGGAAAGGCGCGCGAUACAGGGUGACAGCCCCGUACACAAAAAUGCACAUACUGUGAGCUCGAUGAGUAGGGCGGGACACGUGGUAUCCUGUCUGAAUAUGGGGGGACCAUCCUCCAAGGCUAAAUACUCCUGACUGACCGAUAGUGAACCAGUACCGUGAGGGAAAGGCGAAAAGAACCCCGGCGAGGGGAGUGAAAAAGAACCUGA
rnacentral:rRNA from 1 species